UGGAGGCCAGGGAGAUUUGGGAUUUAUCUUCUUUUAUGGGUAACGGUUACCAAACAGCUUACUGAAAGUAAUGCUUAAAAGGGAGGAGAGGAGACAUAUAUCUGUAACUGUUAGCGCAGGCUAUCAUUCCAGGAAUUGUUACCUUCUAGAGCUUAUAGUUUCAUUAUGUUGAGUGGGGCUAGAAUUCGGUGCAUUUGCUGCGUUAACAGAUGCAUGUUGCAGAGCCCUCUCUGAUGUCCUCAAAUGAAACACUUGAAAUUCUGGCAGUUGUGGAGUGCUCUUUUUAGCGAGGGGACAUGAAGGAGCCUCAAGAAUUUUUUUAUUCAAGGGUCUUGCUCUAAAGGUAGAAGCAUUUGAUUUUGCAUUUUCAGCCGACUCCAAAUUAAUCUUGGACCUAUGUCUUUCUGCCCUAAAAGCUGUUUCCAGAUUAGGUUCUCUGGGAACUGUAACUUUAGGUUUAGCAAAUGCUGUACGAACGUCAAGUAGUCCAACCUUUUUAGGUGCCUUGUGUAAAAGAAGAGCUUGAUGCUUCAAACGAGCAACCUUGCAUGAAUAACCGGCCUCGAGCUUUUGCCUUUUGGUAGCCUGGGUUCCGUUCAUAGAAGAAUUCCGAGAACUCCUCUCCUCUUUUCUUACCAACUUCUGAAACCUAUUCUCCUCAUUUUUAACCAACUUCUGAGAUCUUCUGAGCAAUCGGUCACAAUGAAUUUGCAAAGUGCAAUUUUGCCUGGCCAACAGACUUGCAGUGGGAUUCAUGAAAUUUAAAUUUUUUAAUAGACGUGACUUGGUUGGCGAUCUGGCUUCAUUAUAUGAUUCUAAUCCCGAGUUAUUAUCUGCUGAAGUUGCUUCAGAGUCCAUACUGGUAGACAAGUCAGCGCUGGUGGGAUUGAUGUUUUCAGCAUCUCUACGAAUAAAAGAGGAAUUUCCACCUUUCACUGGAAUGCUUGGUUCCCAAUUCAGCUUUAUAAUGAAAGGAGAGGGAGGACAAUAUCCUGUGGUUUCAAACCAGCGCUCAGCUUCUUGUGCCUCGAAAUCGGUUUCUGGCCGGGUGAAAUCGUAGUACUUAGCUGCAUCAAACUCGUAAUCAAUAUUGAUUUCUUCAGCCAAAAAAGGCUCAAUAUAAAAUUCGUCCAUGUCGAAAUCCAUAUUCUUUGCCCCUUCUCAGAGAAAAUUAUGAGGUCCUUAAAUCAGCAUUUCACACAAAAUUGUAUCAAAAUUUGUCCUAUUCGUUCAUCUGAAGAAAGCUGAUACAUCCUCCAUUUCUAUAUACGUUACUUGCCGGAAAAAGCGAAUGAAAUUUUCGUUUUUAGCUUCAGAGGAUAAAACCAGAGGAAAGCAUCAUUAACACGAGUCGAUUCCUUGGCUUUCCUUUUUGUCUCUGUUGAGAUAUUAGGGAAAAGGUAAGGUAUCGUUAAUUGAUUCUGCAAUUUUGUCUCAAUUUCUCCCUUUCUCUCCCUUCUUCCCUCCCUUAAUUUUCUCUGGAAAAUGAGAAAGAAGUUUAUAGUGAUGUGGGUCGCGAGUCCAUCAAUAUCUCUCCCAAAACUUUCCAGGAAAAUGAGGGAAAGAGAUAUGGAGAUGGAGAGAAAGUUGUAAAAAUGCGACUGCGAAAACCCUAAUUUCUGGGUGAGGAAACCAUAGAAGCGAUUUUUAUAGAAGUGAACGGCGAUAAUUACGCUGGAUACAAAUACAAUUGAGAGGAAAAGGAAAGAAUAGAACAAACAGAGCAGAGAAGCGACGUUAUAUGUGUUCGGUGGUGGUUUCGAC
rnacentral:misc_RNA from 1 species